CAUCUUCAGUUUCUCUGAUUCCUCUUCCUUCUCCUUGGACACUUUCAAGUGCACGUUUGGUAAAAGAUUAAAAGCCAAAGACUUCAGAUAUAUUGGUUAAGUAAUGUGGUAUUUCUUUUGUUUCCCUUCAGAAGUAAUUGAUAUGCUGCCCUGUCAUGAAGAACCGAGAUUCUCAGUAGAACCAAACAAAAUGGAG
rnacentral:lncRNA from 1 species